CUUCACCGCUUUAGUACUGAAUCUAUCAGCAACAACGCAACUCAGCCACUCACGCCAUAGUCCACCGUCCCCUUCCUCAACUCCAUCCCCAAAUUGGAAGACUCACCCCCUCCUCCCAAAAUCCAUUGACAUAUCUCACGCGCCCUGCCACCAGCUCCAUCAGCACCACCGGCUGGGUCUGUUGUCCCCUGCUCCAAGAAUCAGCCGGUGGAUGGCCAAGUCGGCAAGCAGCGCCUCCGUGUCUGCGUGGAGGAGGACCAGUGGCGCGCUCCACCACAACAUCACCACCGAGCAGCUCGUGGUGUCCUUCUUCGCAGUAGGAGCUGACCAACCCGUAGCUCCCGGCCGACGCCGUGGCCUGCGUCAAGGUCAGCUACGUUGUGCUGCGGCUUCUCCAGCGAGACAUCCUCGGCGGCUCGUCCUCGUUGUCACGCACGGUGACGGGUGAUCCCGCUGUCGCAGUCCUCUCCUUCAACCCUCGAGCCUAGCUGCCGCACGGAGCGGCAUCCUCUCUCCGCCCUGCCUAAGUCCGUCGAGCAGCCAGCAGUCAGGUUUGCUACGGCCCCAUCGAUUUCGGUCCGUGGAGGAGCUCAGCCUCCGUGGAUCCCUCAAUGUCAGCACCGCCAACUUCGGCAGCCAGCAGCGUUGGGGCAUGUCAACUCGCGCUUGCGCAGCUCCUCGGCUGCACCUCGUCAACCCAAGGCAAGCCCCGAGCGACUGUGGCUAGGAACGGAAAAAAAUAAUCAGUGGAAAGCGAAGGAGGGGGCUGGGGGCGAUAGGGAUGGCGGCGGACAACAUGUUCUCUCGUCGCUUGUUGUGGGUCGCUUGGGCCGCCGCUGAACAGGAGCGCGAUGGUCAAUCGCUGUGGGGGACGAACGGCCUGCGUGUUUGGGGCAGAGGGCAGCGCGGAAGAAGUUCUGUCCGUCAGGAGCCACUGAAGACUAUUAGCGUGGCACACCGUGUCGUAAAUGGGAGCACGCAGCCAGGAGAGAAGCGGGAUAAUGCAAUGGACCGACGAUGAGCUCGAGCUGACUGUGGAUUCAGUCAUCAACAGGCGGAUGUAAACGCUGUGCUAAUGUGGCUCAGAGGUUUUUGAAUCUGAUUAGGAUUUUGGGCGUGCAAGAGUUUACAACCAAUCAGGGACUAAGAGAUAAUUCAAGAAGCCAUUAAGAGCUGGAAUAGAGACUCAAAGAUGGAUGGAAAAGGAGACAGAAGGUAUCUUGCAUUACCGACGCUGGAGACAUCCUGUGGUGGCGGCACCCGAACCUGCGACCCCUGCGCCCCUAGCUGCACCGACCAAUGACUAGACGCCACAGAUGCUUCUUCUGCCCAGCUCCAGCCACCGAAGGUAUGGAUGAGUUGUUACUCUACAUACAUCCAUCCAUCUCAGAUUAAAGCAAAGAUGCUUUGAGGUCUGUGCUAAAGGUUAAAUUAAGAGGUCAUGGUACUACUACAACUUAUGUUGUGCUAGCCAAUGCUACAUGAAGCAAGAGCGGAUGUAGAAAAUGAUACUCAUACUCCGGAAAGCAUUAUUCUCUCCUAAGGCAAGCCAAAUCCGUUGUACGGCAGAUACUUCCGCAGGUGCAUUACCGAAUUUUCUGGUUAAAUACAUUACAAGAUGUUUCCCGCGAUCAGUUAUAUCAAUUUUUGCACCCCCAAGUCGACCAUGAUAACAAAAAUGUAUCCCUUCCCCCAUAUUUGGCUAACUGUCCAAUAUUCAGGCAGGUACCCUUCUGUUGAAAAUGCCUAAUUAUGUGUUCUCUUCAAUCUAUCAAUAGUAAGAAUUGGUGCCCAUGCCUGAUUUUUUACUGUUGAACUGCAUGGCUCCUGUACCACUAGAAUUGUUCAAGCUAUAAUUAGGAAGUUGAUUGCACAAAGGUAUGAAUAUAGAAAAUUAUCAUUUACAGCUUCACUCGAGGCUGUAAAUGAUAAUGUAACAGAGCUUUGUAUAUUGUAAGGCUUAACUAUUUGGAGUUGUUGACUUGAGUGAAAACAGAAAAGUAACGUUUAACAAUAAUUAAAUUCUCCUAUGUACUGAUUUUUUGUAUUCCCUACUACCACUUCACUGUAAUGGUUUUCCAUGUUUUAUGUCCUCUACAAUCGAAUUGUUUCUGGAUGGUUGCAUGUGUACUCAUGAGGUGUUCAUGUUCUAUAAAUUUCCAAAAUAUUGGCUAAGUCUACUGCAUGGUUCUAACAACCUAAUGGUUAUGUUAUACUACAUGGUCAAUGCAAUUCGGUUUGCUAGCCAAAUUUUUUUUUGGGUUGGAUAAGCCAGAGACAAAAAUAGAAAAAACUGAACUCUCACCGUACUAAUCUGCUAUGGUGGAGGCACUAUCUGCUUUAACAUCAGAACCCACAUGUUUGAGAUGACAAUCAAUUCGAGUUAUUAUGUACUCUGCAAGUGCACUACAAAAUGGCUAUUUGUAAGCAUGGUAGGAUACUAUAAUUGUAUAUUUGUGAACUAACCCUUUGCAACCAUGCUACUCUAUUUCACCUUACAGAAGGAUUGCAUCAGCGAAACCACCCAUGCAUAUCCUCACCCCACUGAAAGUAUCAACUACAGUAAGACACAUCCUUUAUUUCAAGAGCCACCAAAGGCGAUCGGGUUGGGUGUUGCUUCCUAAAAGAUGUUGAUAUUUGUGGGUCUCGAAUUGCAGAACUACAAGAAUAUAUCUUGCUAAGACACAGGCAAUUAAGUCUUGAUAUGAUGGUACAAGAAAUUGUUGAAGGUUACAGCCAGGAUCAUCGUGUAUGAGUGGUGAACUAAACGUUCAAUCUAUUGGUGUUCAGGGCUUCA